rnacentral:tRNA from 1 species
UAGCUCAAUUGGUAGAGCAUGGGACUCUUAAUCCCAGGGUCGUGGGUUCGAGCUCCAU